GGGGGAAAAUUAAUAAAAUAAAAAUAAUAAAAAAAUUUUUAAUAUUGGGGGAUAUUAAAGUAUUUUUUAAAAAAAAAUAAAUUAUUUUAUAAUAAAUUAGUAUUGAAAAAGAAAUUUGAAAUAUUUGAAAAUUAAUUAGUAAAAAAGUAGGUUUAGUUUGGUGUAUCUUGUGUAUCAGAGUUUAUUAAAAAAUAUUUUUUUUUAAGAAAAAUCUCGAAUUUAAAGGAGUUAAUUAAUUAUAAAAGUUAAUGUUGAAAAAUUAUUUUAAAUAAUUAAUUUGAAAUGAAAUGUUAAUCGUUUUUAAAUAUAUCUAGUUAUUUUAGAAAAAAAUUUAAUUUAAAAUUUAAAAAAUUUUAUUUUUAAAUAAAAUUAAAAAUGAAAUAUUUAAAAUUAAAUAUAUAAAGGGAUAAGCUUUUAUAUAAAAAUUUAUAAUAAGUAAAAUUUAAAAUAAAAUUUUUAAAAUUUAUAUUGUUUAAAAAUUAUAGUUUAUUAUAAAAAAUUUUAUUAACGAAAAAAAAUUUAAUAUCAAAUUUAAUUUUAUAUAAAAUAAUAAUUUUAAAAGAAAAAAGAUUGGUAAUAAUGAUAAAAUUAGUAUAGUAUAAUAGAAAAAAAUUUAAUUAUUUUAAAUUAAAUAAAAGGAAUUCGGCAAAAAUUUAUAUUCACUUGUUUAACAAAAACAUGUCUUUUAGUUAAUAAUUAAAAGUCUAAUCUGCCCACUGAUAAUUUAUUAAAGGGCUGCAGUAUAUUGACUGUACAAAGGUAGCAUAAUCAAUAGUCUUUUAAUUGAAGACUUGUAUGAAAGAUUUGAUGAAAUAUAAACUGUCUCUAAUUUAAAAAUAGAACUUAAUUUUUUAGUUAAAAAGCUAAAAUAAAUUUAAAAGACGAGAAGACCCUAUAGAGUUUUAUAUAAAAAUUAUUUAAGAUUAUAUAUAUAAUUAAAAAUUAAAAAUAAAAUUUAUAUUAUAUUGGGGUGAUAGGAAAAUUAAAAUAACUUUUUUUGUAUAUUUUUAUCACAAAUAAGUGAUUAAAUUGAUCCAUUUAUUAUGAUUAAAAGAAAAAAUUACCUUAGGGAUAACAGCGUAAUAUUUUUUUUUAGUGCAUAUAAAAAAAAAAGUUUGCGACCUCGAUGUUGGAUUAAGAUAAAAUUUAAAUGCAAAAGUUUAAAAUUUUGAUCUGUUCGAUCAUUAAAAUCUUACAUGAUCUGAGUUCAGACCGGUGUGAGCCAGGUUGGUUUCUAUCUUUAAAAUAAUAAAAUAUUUUAGUACGAAAGGAUCAAAUAUUUUUAAUAAUUAAAAUUUGAUGAAUAUUAAUAAUAUAGUAGAAAU
rnacentral:rRNA from 1 species